GAUCGGUGGCGGCUGCAGCUGCCAAGGUUUAUCAAUCUGGGACACACGGCUCUGAUGGAAGAGAGAACCAAACUUACAUCAGACACUUGACCCCUUGGCCCGGAGCCAAACCAGAUCAGCCGGGCGAGCCUCCCCCAGGGCAGGCUUGUACAUGACAGAUGACACUUGCCAGAGAAGUCAGGCCAUGCCACCCCCUGGGAGCCUGAAAGACACAAAAUCAAGGCAGUUCCAUCAAGCACUUCGAGAGUGGAGCAGGUGGCAAGCCUUUCAAUCACCUUUACUGAGGUGAGGUGAGAAAAAAAGUUAGGGGUAGCUGGCACAUGUUCCUUUUCCCAGGAGAGAAAGUAAGUGUUCACUGAGCCAGCUGGGUAGAGUAAGGGUGGCUUGCUUGACUUCCCAGCCCAAGACGCAGAAGAUGCAGGGUUUCAUGCAUGCUAGGCACACGCUGUGCCACUGAGCUACACUUCCACCCUUUUCCUUCUUUCUGCCCCCACCUGUUUCUUUUUGACAGAAGAAAUACUUCAGAAAUUGGAACCGGAAAGGGCCAGAUUCCAAGCCCUGUACCCCUGCUCCCAUUUUACAG
ensembl:lncRNA